UGUGGGAGCGAGCCUGCUCGCGAAUGCGUUGUAUCAGCAGCAUAAGUAGUCGCUGAUACGCCGCCAUCGCGAGCAGGCUCGCUCCCACA
rnacentral:misc_RNA from 1 species